UUCAUGCUAUGGACUUUUAUCCGAGAAGGAGCACAGGAACUCAACAGAAAAACUGAAAGGAACUUUGAAAACCCUGAAAGGAGUGGCAGACAUCAACUUGCACUAUGAGUCCGUUGGAAAACUAUGAGUCUUGAGAGCAUGAAAGGGAGAGAGACUGUCUCCAUGAUACAAAUUCCCUCUUGGGAGCUGGGCAAUCCAGGCCAUGAGGGAGUGACUUAACCCUACCAGGAGCUGGAGCUAAUUUGAAAAGUGGAAUCAUGCUUUCAAUGUAUUUGUGGGUAUUCUCCACCUUGGAGUUGAUCUUGGCAAAUACAGUGACCAGAUGGAUAAAAAAAGCACAUCAUCAUGGCAACAAUACCACGUAAUCAACAUGAAUGAAACUGCGGCCAUUAUCGUAAAUGAAAUGACUCAGAAACAGAAAGUCAAAAACCACACAUUCUCAUUUAUAAGUGGGAGCAAAAAAGUUGUUACACACGGAC